rnacentral:sRNA from 1 species
CCCCACGCGACGCCACAGUCGGCACAGGCGCAGUAUAAUCCGCAGAACAUGACCAGGCCACAGCGAGCGCACAGAUUGCGGAAUUUCGAAGGGGAGGAGGGGUUCGCCUAAUGCGGUAAUAGCGGUACUUAAACCGAACCUAGACCCGACAGCCCACAAUCAUCCUCCUCGUCAGAGUGCCCUCGAAUGGCCGGUCAAGUGGUUGGGCCCCCACCCUAACCCAGUAAUAUGCUGGGCCGAAGGACUUAGAUGCAGAAAUACGUACCCGGAACAUUGUAUAUUGCUUACAUUGCUUUUUGUCUGCCUUAUCAGCUUUAAAGUGUGCUGGAAGCAAAUCAAAGCUGUCUGAACCCUCGACCCGAGCCUAAAUGAUAAUGAAAUCAAGAACAGACGACUGGUUAAUUCCGAAUAGAGACGCAACUGAAACAAGGAUCACCUAAGACUUCAGCAAGGAGAAAUUUUAAUAGAGGAGUGCUAGAGACUGGACCCGGAAUCGAAAUCGAAAUGGAUUUAAACUCUUAAUCAAUUGCUAUGGGAACCCAAGGGACUGACGCCGGCCCCGUGUGUUCUAAUUAAUGACAUUUGCAUGUAAAUUUCAAGCAAAUUAAGCAAAUGAUUUAAAUGCAUUUCCGUGUAAAUAUCCAAA